GAGGAAAGAGGGGGGCGUGCCUAAUACAUGCGAGUCGAGCGAACAGACGAGGAGCUUGCUCCUCUGACGUUAGCGGCGGACGGGUGAGUAACACGUGGAUAACCUACCUAUAAGACUGGGAUAACUUCGGGAAACCGGAGCUAAUACCGGAUAAUAUAUUGAACCGCAUGGUUCAAUAGUGAAAGACGGUUUUGCUGUCACUUAUAGAUGGAUCCGCGCCGCAUUAGCUAGUUGGUAAGGUAACGGCUUACCAAGGCGACGAUGCGUAGCCGACCUGAGAGGGUGAUCGGCCACACUGGAACUGAGACACGGUCCAGACUCCUACGGGAGGCAGCAGUAGGGAAUCUUCCGCAAUGGGCGAAAGCCUGACGGAGCAACGCCGCGUGAGUGAUGAAGGUCUUCGGAUCGUAAAACUCUGUUAUUAGGGAAGAACAAAUGUGUAAGUAACUAUGCACGUCUUGACGGUACCUAAUCAGAAAGCCACGGCUAACUACGUG
rnacentral:rRNA from 1 species